UGGGAACUUCAGACUCUAGACUGACUGAAGAGCAUCUGACAGGGGGACCACAGACACUAGUCCAUCACAGAGCACCGCCGUCUGCUGAUCUGAUCUGGUUGGUUGCUCAAGCGUCCACAUUUCCAUCUCGAGGAGCUGUAUUUGCAGGGCGCUGUGGUCCAGGUCAACUCUGGUGAAUGAGUCCAGGGGCAGCUUAUAGACCAGCAUUGCAAAGACUUCUUUUGACUCAUUGUUCUAAAGCGAAAAGCCGAGUUGUGACAGAUGAAAAGGAGCUCACAUUCCCUGUGCCCCACUGUACACUUUUAAGUCUGGAGAAUUUUCCUUUGCAUAUACAUGAACACAGGCCUCACACAACUGGCAAACGCAGCGGCUACUUUAUGGUAUUCAAAGAACGAAGCGUGGCGUGCGACAAUGACGAUGUUGUCACAUUCAAAAUUCAGGCAAGUGCUCUUCCGUGGA